UUAUGUACAUGUUUUCGUAGGUGACCUGCGAAAGGAUCAUUA
rnacentral:rRNA from 1 species